UCAGAUUGUGAGAUGGAAACGUUUGGUCCGCCCAUUGUUUUGCAUUGACGUGUUUUCACGUCACGUGACUCCCGAGUUCCCGUCUCCGGAAAGGAAAACAUGGCGGACAGUCCUUGUUUUUUCAGAUAAAAACAUGAUUUUGUAACUUAGUCUGGGCAUAAAAAUACAUUCUGACACCAUUUCUAGCGAGAAAUGUGGUCUUUGCUUCCACAGUCUUCAGCCAGUUUGUGCUUAUGAUAUAUAUUUUAAUAGUUAUCACGAAUGUUUUUAUCGUUGCUAUGGUGGUUGCUAUGACGCUGCCAUGCACACAACGUCGUAGCGUGCUGUUUAAAUCACCGUCCCUGCGUGGUGUCGUUCAGUGAUUGUGUAUGUUAUUCAUGUUAAAUAAUAUUAAUAUUUGAGGCUAGAUUACACCUCUAAUGCGAAGGAUCUUGCGAGUCUGUUCAGAGGCGGACAUGAGUGUGACACCGGACCGAGAUCGCGAACGGACCGGAACUGACGUGUGGCUGGCGUAAAAAAAGGUUUUGUAAACAUUCUGUCCAUUUAACUUAGCGCUGUCAUAAACACGGACCAUUUGGAAGACAACGAUGUCAUCUUCCUUCUGUCAGGAGGAUCCAAGUGAAGCUACAGGAGUUUCAUUAACGUCAAUAACUUGGACCGAACAGUUUGUUUUGCUUGAUGAAGAGGAGGAAGGGCAGCCUGGAGAGAAAGAGAAGCCGGGUUGAGCCCACUUCCAUCAUCCACGUACCACAAGGAAGAUGAGGGGGAGAAAUUAUCCUACCAUUAAAGAGGUAGUACUGACGCAUUUAUG